rnacentral:rRNA from 1 species
UACGAAGGGUGCAAGCGUUACUCGGAAUUACUGGGCGUAAAGCGUGCGUAGGUGGUUUGUUAAGUCUGUUGUGAAAGCCCCGGGCUCAACCUGGGAAUGGCAAUGGAUACUGGCAAGCUAGAGUGCGGUAGAGGGUAGUGGAAUUCCCGGUGUAGCGGUGAAAUGCGUAGAGAUCGGGAGGAACACCAGUGGCGAAGGCGGCUACCUGGACCAGCACUGACACUGAGGCACGAAAGCGUGGGGAGCAAAACAGGAUUAGAUACCCGUAGUAAGUCCG